CUUCCGGGCAGUUGGCACAGCACCUGCAUUAGAACUUCCCACAAUUCAUCGAGCGCAACCCUCAACGGCGAGGGGUGGCGCUCCCCGAGCGAUUCGGGAUCGGACAAAGGCGUCCUGCUGGCAACGGCAGGACGCC
rnacentral:sRNA from 1 species